rnacentral:rRNA from 1 species
AUUGAACGCUGGCGGUAGGCCUAACACAUGCAAGUCGAACGCGAAAGUCCUUCGGGAUGAGUAGAGUGGCGGACGGGUGAGUAACGCGUAGGAAUCUAUCCUGUAGUGGGGGAUAACAUUUCGAAAGGAACGCUAAUACCGCAUACGCCCCAAGGGGGAAAGCGGGGGAUCUUCGGACCUCGUGCUAUAGCAGGAGCCUGCGUCGGAUUAGCUAGUUGGUGAGGUAAAGGCUCACCAAGGCGACGAACCGUAGCUGGUCGAAGAGGAUGAUCAGCCACACCGGAACUGAGACACGGUCCGGACUCCUACGGGAGGCAGCAGUGGGGAAUAUUGCGCAAUGGGCGAAAGCCUGACGCAGCCAUACCGCGUGUGUGAAGAAGGCCUUCGGGUUGUAAAGCACUUUCAGUGGGGAGGAAAAGCUGGUGGCUAAUAUCCAUCGGCCGUGACGCUACCCACAGAAGAAGCACCGGCUAAUUCCGUGCCAGCAGCCGCGGUAAUAC